UUUUAAAGAUUUUUUUUUGCGGUUAAGAGGAGUCACGGCAACCCCGGAUUUUUUUGAUAUUCCUCCUUGCACUGCGGCAAAUUCCAUUUGGAAGAGUAACGGAACUAGUCCAAAUGACGCAGUGCCCGUUAUUCUUCCAAAUGGAAUAUUCCCGCAGUGCAAGGGUAUAAAAACCUGCUGGCAACACCAAAGUCGGCCAUUUCACAAUAUAAUUUUCUUUCAACAAGAUGCGAAGUGCGCAGAUACGGGAAUUAUAAAAGUGAUUUAUUUUGAUAUUUAAAAAAAGAAAAAACCCAAAUAAACACUCGAAAUAAGUCGAGUAACUGUGACAAGUGAAGAAGAAACUAAACAAACUAACCCCUUUAAAAAAAAAAGAAAAAAAUAGUCAAAUAGUGCGAUUUCACCAGCGAUUCUAGGAUAGAAUUGCACUCAGGAGAACGUAGUUAUUAACGUUACAUAUAACUACUGCUUCAGUUUCAGCCUUGGAGAGAUUUAUAGAUUCCGAGGAAACGUCGUAUCAUAUCUGGCGUGCCGCCGCAGCUACUACAUUUAGUACAAGGAAAAGGUGAAAGCAAUCAACCACCAUUGCAACCGUAGCACCGCAGCAACACCAAAAGAAUCAGUUGGACCAUUGACUAAGCAAUUGGGAGUCCCAGCAGCAACCCACAUCCCGUUGACAGCAACCGCAGGGCGGCAAAAACAGCGCAACAGUCCCGGAACUGUUAACACUGGAAUAGGCAGUCUGCGGACCGUCCCGUACGGUAUCCACGACGCGCCACAACAGCACUACUGUAACCAUACGGCGUAACCUCAAGCGCCACUUCGGGAGAAGAGCGCCAUAGUACCAGUGUGUGCGUACCAGCGGUGCGCUUUAAUGCCCAUCGGGCGCCCUAACACCAUCUAGCGCCACCUCGUCAGCGAGGCGCCUCAACGUCAUCAAGUGCCACCAGCGG